rnacentral:misc_RNA from 1 species
UCCGGUUUGUCACCGGCAGUCUCGCAUGAGUCCCCAACUAAAUGCUGGCAACAUGCGACGGGGGUUGCGCUCGUUGCGGGACUUAACCCAACAUCUCACGGCACGAGCUGACGACAGCCAUGCAGCACCUGAGCAGGAUGGUAUUGCUACCUCGUUGGGCUUUCACCCUUCUACUACCUGCAUGUCAAGGACUGGUAAGGUUCUUCGCGUUGCGUCGAAUUAAACCACAUGCUCCACCGCUUGUGCGGGCCCCCGUCAAUUCCUUUGAGUUUUAACCUUGCGGCUGUACUCCCCAGGCGGGAUGCUUAAUGCGUUAGCUGCGCCACUGAUAAGCAAGCUUACCAACGGCUAGCAUCCAUCGUUUACGGCGUGGACUAC